rnacentral:lncRNA from 1 species
GUUGUUAGUGCAGACCCCUUUAUCUGAGGAAAUUCCUCUCGGUAAGUCAGCCAUAUUCUAGAAAUGAAAUCUUUACGGAACUCCUCAACAUUUCCUGAAAUCUCUGUGUUGAUUUUAUCAAAGUUGGAUCCCUCUGUAGAGAGUUCACCAGAUUCAUCAGAUUUGAAGUGGUAACAUUUUCCCAGCAGAAAGACUGGAGAGUUUCUACUGAAGUAAGUUUUUGUUUUCAAUACCCAACUGUAUUUCAUGUUGUUCCAUGCUGACAUGAACUUCGAUUUUAUCUUUUCCACUUCAUCUGUCCCUG